rnacentral:tRNA from 2 species
GCGGGUGUUGCUUAAUGGUAAAGCCCUAGCCUUCCAAGCUAGUCACGAGGGUUCGAUUCCCUUCACCCGCUCCA